AACGAACGCUGGCGGCAUGUCUAACACAUGCAAGUCGAACGAUUGCCUUCGGGUGAUAGUGGCGCACGGGUGCGUAACGCGUGGGAAUCUGCCCUUAGGUUCGGAAUAACAGCUGGAAACGGCUGCUAAUACCGGAUGAUAUCGCGAGAUCAAAGAUUUAUCGCCUGAGGAUGAGCCCGCGUUGGAUUAGGUAGUUGGUGGGGUAAAGGCCUACCAAGCCGACGAUCCAUAGCUGGUCUGAGAGGAUGAUCAGCCACACUGGGACUGAGACACGGCCCAGACUCCUACGGGAGGCAGCAGUGGGGAAUAUUGGACAAUGGGCGCAAGCCUGAUCCAGCAAUGCCGCGUGAGUGAUGAAGGCCCUAGGGUUGUAAAGCUCUUUUACCCGGGAAGAUAAUGACUGUACCGGGAGAAUAAGCCCCGGCUAACUCCGU
rnacentral:rRNA from 1 species